CCUACGGGCGGCAGCAGUGGGGAAUAUUGGACAAUGGGCGAAAGCCUGAUCCAGCCAUGCCGCGUGUGUGAAGAAGGCCUUCGGGUUGUAAAGCACUUUCAGUGGGGAAGAAAGCCUUGGGGCUAAUACCCUCGAGGAAGGACAUCACCCACAGAAGAAGCACCGGCUAACUCCGUGUCAGCAGCCGCGGUAAUACGGAGGGUGCGAGCGUUAAUCGGAAUUACUGGGCGUAAAGCGUGCGUAGGCGGUCUGAUAAGCCGGUUGUGAAAGCCCCGGGCUCAACCUGGGAACGGCAUCCGGAACUGUCAGGCUAGAGUGCAGGAGAGGAAGGUAGAAUUCCCGGUGUAGCGGUGAAAUGCGUAGAGAUCGGGAGGAAUACCAGUGGCGAAGGCGGCCUUCUGGACUGACACUGACGCUGAGGUGCGAAAGCGUGGGUAGCAAACAGGAUUAGAUACCCCGGUAGUC
rnacentral:rRNA from 1 species